GCCACUUUAUGGAUGCUCCCUUAACAGGCUCGCGCUCGAAGGUCUUGUGAAUUAUUUUCCAUCUGAGAGCUGAGCCUUAUCUUUAACCCUCAUAAAAAGUCCUCAGAGUAACUGUUGUUUACGUGUACUCACCACGAUAGAGAUUGCGAGUGGGAAAUUUGGUUGAUUUCGGGUUGCGUUUGUUUUUCUUGUUAAUCUGCGGCGCAAACAUUUCCGAUCCACAUGCGGCUUUCUGUCUCUUUAUCGAGGAAAGCUGCAGGUGAAUUUGUUUGAAUCCCCUCCAACGUCUGGGAUUGACGUUUAAUCAUUCAUGCCCGUCUGUGAGGGAUGGAGGCAGGAGAAAGUGACAGCUCCUCGGGUGCUGUUCAAACAUUGAGGGACAGUUGGCGCUCUGAGGAGGAGGAGGGAUUGGCGUUUGCAGUCCGGUGAACGUAAGAGACUGAGAGCGUGAGAUCACCUGAGGAAGUGACUGACAAUCGAGAGGCCCGGAAAACCAUCAGAAGACCCAACAGAUGAGUGGAAAACACAAGCUUUGUCUGAAUCCACCCAAAUCCAAUAGAUUAUACCAGAUCUCGAAAAUCCCCUGAUCCCCUGAUGGAGGAUAUUAAAAAUAUACAAAUUUGUAUCUUUAUAUGAGUGACAUAUCAGGUUAUUCAACACACUGUGGCUGACUAGCAUGUAUCAUUUGACCAAUUAAUGACCCAUUAACCUAGUAUAACUUGAUUGUGAGCAGCACAACUGAUCUAUUAAUGCUUCCUUGCUUAAUCAAGCCUGGCAUGCUGGGGUAUUCGAGGAGAGGUGUGUGUGUAUAUGGGGGGAAUCUUAUUUAAAUUCAAUCAGAGAAAUGCGGACUCUCAGCAGGACAUGCUGCAUCUCCAUGGAGACAGAGCAGGCCUGCGGUCUCUGGCACACCACUGCUGCAGUUGACUGUUAGCUCCAGUGUUGUCGUUGCUUUCCAGACCGGGGCGGGAUCAGUGGCGGCACGUGGCGGCCCAGCUUCCUUUGACUGUCUUCCUGAGCUCGGGAUCUGAAGGCCAAUGUGGUUCCCGCUCUGGCGGAACGCGGACCCGCUCACCGCCGAGGCCCACAGGGACUGCGGCUCACAUUCCGGCCAGCGUCCUUCUCAGAUACCAGCUGGU